rnacentral:rRNA from 1 species
AAAUUGAAGAGUUUGAUCAUGGCUCAGAUUGAACGCUGGCGGCAGGCCUAACACAUGCAAGUCGAACGGUAACAGGAAGAAGCUUGCUUCUUUGCUGACGAGUGGCGGACGGGUGAGUAAUAUCUGGGAAACUGCCUGAUGGAGGGGGAUAACUACUGGAAACGGUAGCUAAUACCGCAUAACGUCGCAAGACCAAAGAGGGGGACCUUCGGGCCUCUUGCCAUCGGAUGUGCCCAGAUGGGAUUAGCUAGUAGGUGGGGUAACGGCUCACCUAGGCGACGAUCCCUAGCUGGUCUGAGAGGAUGACCAGCCACACUGGAACUGAGACACGGUCCAGACUCCUACGGGAGGCAGCAGUGGGGAAUAUUGCACAAUGGGCGCAAGCCU